CACUCCAUAUUUAAGAUAAAUUUUCUAGUAACGCAAGAAUAAAGUGCCAAAACACCGCAACAUAGGCUAAAUAUUAUUCAUCGACAAACCACCAACUAAGUGGAAACCGAUCGAGCAUUAAAGGGCACAAUAAUCAUGCGUGACUGCCGCUCACAGAGAGAAGAAAAAGGCAACGUUUGAUCUUCCCCCCGUCUCGCCCAUCUGCAUCCUCUCAUUUACAGUUGUUGCAGUUGCAGGAUAUCGGCUUAUACGAGCAAUGGCCGAACGGCUUGUCCUGGUUGCAUUUGAUUUCGUAACAACACUUCCUUGUCGAGCAUUUGCUCCGGUCACUGAUGGCACAACACGUGCAAUCCGAGCACACCUUCGUCUCCUCGUGGACAGCGCUGAUCACGUCGGCGACAGCUCGGUGUUGGACGGGAGAGACAGGUACGUAAUCGUCCGCUCCUGCAUGCAGGCGUUUAGAAACCAGUCAGUACUUACUUGGAAGCGACAUGGAGAUGGGAUGAAGGAUGACCUUUGUGGGGAAGGGCGGAGAGCAAGAGAGCGAGGAUGAGAAAGAGGCUAACGUUGAAGUUUCCCAUGGCGCUCGGAAACUGUAAAGAGAGACAGAGAG
rnacentral:lncRNA from 1 species